CCGGGCCACACCGUCCCCUCCUCGCUGCCAGUCGCCCCUGUCGCAGCGCAGUCCCGCCUCGGCCCCGCCCGCACCGGGGCCCGAGUUCACGGCGGGUAGGCUGGCGGGCAGCGGCCGGGAAGGGGUGGGGGCGGCGGGGCGGCCCCGGGACGUCCUCGUGGAAGGAGCCUAGGGACCACCUCGGGCCAGGGCGACCUGGAGACUGGACCGCACCAGCACGAUCCGGGGCCUGGAGGCGCCCCCAUCAGGCCUCCCCGUCCACACCUGGGCGCUCAGCCCCAUGGACUGCAGAGGUGCCGACCACGGUCUUCGCCCCCAGUCAGCCCAGGCGCAGCGAGUCUAACUGAAGCCUGAGGAGGCUGGGUCCCAGGACAGCACCCCCGCCAGUCCCACCCCGAACUGGAGUCACCUCCCCUGCACGCUGCACCCCCUGGGCAGAGAAGCAACAGGAGUGGAUAGAAUAAAGCUGGUUCUGCACUUACAGGCUGUGUCAUCUUGAGCUGGUCAUCCAGCCUUUCUGGAUUUCAGGGUCCUGUCUGUGAUUUUUUUUUUCUUUUUUUUUUUUUGGAGGAAGAUUAGCUCUGAGCCAACUGCCGCCAAUCCUCCUCUUUUUGCUGAGGAAGACUGGCCCUGAGCUAACAUGCGUGCCCAUCUUCCUCUACUUUAUAUGUGGGACGCCUACCACAGCAUGGCUUGACAAGCGGUGCCAUGUCUGCACGGGGGAGCUGAACUGGCGAACCCCAGGCCGCCACAGCGGAACGUGUGCACUUAACUGUUGGGCCACCAGGCUGGCCCUUUUUUUUCUUUUUUCAAGAUUGUCACCUGAGCUAACAAUUGUUGCCAAUAUUUUUUUUUUUUCUGCUUUUCCUCCCCACAUCCCCUAGUACGUAGUUAUAUAUAUUUUUUAGCUGUGGGUCCUUCUAGUUGUGGCAUGUGGGACGCCACCUCAGCGUGGCCUGACGAGCGGUGCCAUGUCCGCGCCCAGGAUCCCAACUGGUAAAACUCUAGGCCGCCUAAGCAAGCAUGUGAACUUAAGCACUCGGCCCAGGGGUGGUCACCCUGUCUGUGAAAUGAGCGUGCUCAUACUGCCUCUGGAGAGUUGCCGUGACCAUCAGAAACCACACACACGCAAGAAAAUUCCUGCCGGUGUGGUGGAUGCUCAGGAAACCCUGGCUGUUGAAUGAGUAUUUAUUGACUCCUGUUUUGUGCCAGGCCCUCCGGCGGGAUGCCUGGGACUCCGGAGAUGAAUGAGAUGUACCCGUGGUCCCAUGUAAAUGCCUGUCGGGGAAGAUGAAAGUCACGUUGUCUUCUCGAGAUCCCGCAGGAGAUGUGGUUUGAGCCAAGAGAACCACUCAGGCUUCAAGUAGGGGCGGCGUUUUCCUGACAUUGAAUGUGGCGGCAUUCAAAGGAUUGUGACAUUUCAGACGAAACGUGCUGCAGAUAAUGGUGACUUAGCUACCCUUUAUUGAGUGCACACUCCACGCCAGGGUCUUCACCUGUGCUCAUUCAACAAAUACAUAUUGAGGUCUAGUGGGUGACAGGCACUCUGCCGGGAGCUGGGGUACCGCCACGAACAGGACAGUGACCGUCCGCACGGAGCAGACAGGCUAGUGGGGAACUGACGACAAGGAAGUCAUGACACAGACACCCUCUAACUGAGGAAAGUUCCUCAAAGGGAACUGUAGGGCGGGUGGGCUGGGAGCAUCUGCCGGAUGCAGGCCAACCAGAGGCGGCGGCGGCAGCAACAAAUGCUAAAAUACCAAGAACCCACUCAAAGUCAGUCUGCUUUUUAUUAUCACUACGUACCAGCAAUUCUAAACAAUGUCGUCCCGCUAAAAUUCUUUUGUUGGUUUAAGGCCUCAACAAUUGUUUCACUUACUGUUGACUUUUAGUAACAUAUAUGUAAGUUUCAAAUUAGCACAUUUUUAUUACUUAUCCUUUAAGAAGCAAUGUAUUCUAUUUGGAAAUUAACUGAGAGAAUUCCCAGUCAUUUAGCCAAUGCCGACCCUCGGGGACCCGCUACCGGUGGUGAUGUGGAGGCUCGCGUUGGGGGAAAGCUGGGUCUCAAAUUCCUGUUGUACUGUCCUUGGUUUAUUGUGGGUUUUUGUGGGGGGUUUUUUUGAGGAAGAUUAGCCCUGAGCUAACAUCUGCCGCCAAUCCUCCUCUUUUUGCUGAAGAAGCCUGGUCCUGAGCUAACAUCCGUGCCCAUCUUCCUCUACUUUAUAUGUGGGACGCCUACCACAGCAUGGCUUGACAAGCGGUGCCAUGUCUGCACCUGGGAUCUGAACUGGCGAACCCCGGGCCGCAAAGAAGCCGAAUGUGCAACCUUAACUGCUGUGACACCGGGGCGGCCCCAUGUCCUUGGUUUAAACACUGGGUUUGAAAUAAACAGUGGUAGGAUAGUUCUGUGUGACCAUUUGGAGUUUUUAUUUGUUUAAAAAUUUUCAACUGGGAAGAUAUUUGACAGCUGCUAGAAUCCAUCCCAAAGAAACAGACACGGACUAGAACGGCAGUUUCUGAAACUGAUUGUGAAAGGGAUUUUUUCUGAAUUUCUGCCAAACUUAUCCUUAUGUUUAAGGAUUUCCUUAGCAAUUUCUCAGUCUAUUGCUACAUGUGGGGAAAAAACAUUUCCAAAUUAAAAAUUAAUAAAAAAUAUUCUUUGGCCAAUUACGAUUAAAGAUAAAUUGACAAAUCCGCCUAAGCUAUUUCUUGAGCAUAAAUAUGCGAAGAUUAUUUUGAUGAAGGCAUUGACAAUUUGCAGAAGGUGGAAAACAGAAAGUGUAGUGUUAUUACUCAUUACUGCAAUAGCUGUAGAUGCAGUUUUCCCAUUUGUCAAAAAAUGCAUUAAUGUAAUUAAAAAGUAUUAAUCCAUGACUUUUAUUUCUUUUGUAAUAUUUGUUUUACUUUAUUUUUUACUGUGAUGAUUAGAUAUCUGAAAUUCAGUGAGAGAAGAUUUUCGCUCCAUUGUUUAUUGGCCAUCAUUACUCUUCAUGUCAUGAUGAUUAUUGAAAGCAAUGUCCAGAGGAGGAUAUUUUAAAAUAACCCUCUGCUCUCAGAAUUGAAUACUCUAGGUAUGCCACUGCGGUCAGGGAAGGCUUCUUGGAGUAAGCAGCCUCGCAGCUGAGGCUUCAAGGGUGAGCUGGAGAUGGCCAGGAAAAGAGGGUGGGAAGGGUGGGAAGGGUGCUCCAGGUAGAGGAGAGCAUGUGCAAAGGCCCUGAGUCGAGGCAGAGCUUGGUGUGUAGGAGAAACAACGUCAGCACUGUGGCUAGAGCAGAGUAAGCACAGGGAAGGGCCACAGGCUGAGACUCCAGAGGGCAGCAGAGGCCAUGUGAUUGGGGUGGGAUUUGGUUGGACUGUGAGAAAACCAAAAAUAAGUUUAUUUCUGUUUCUCAUAAGAAAGGCCCAAAAGUAAGCAGGUGAUCCAGGGCAGGUGUGUGCAUCACAGUGUCAGGAACCAGUCUCCUUCUGUCUUCUUGCUCUGCCAGCCUCAGCACUGGCUGGGCCUCAUGGUCCAAUAUGGCUGCUUGAGUGUCAGCCAUCACACCUGCAUUCUUGUCAGCAGGAAAGAGGAAGGGGCAAAGGAAGUCCCACCCCACCCCCAUGUGAGAACACACCACUUCCGCCUGGAUCCAUCUGACCAGGAUUUAGUCAUGUGGCCCCACCUAGCUACAAAGAAGGCUGGGAAAUGGAGUCCACUUAAGUGGCCUUGUGACCAGCUACAAUAAAGGGGUUCUCUUUCUAAAGAAAAAAAAAAAUGGAUAAUGGGGGAGGGGCAACUAUCUCUGCCUUGAAAAGAAUUUUGGUCUUUAUUGGAAAAGCAACGGUGAGUCACUGAAGGUUUUAAGAACAAGAAUACUGACGGGGCUGGCCCUGUGGCUGAAUGGUUAAGUUCACACACUCUGCUUCCACGGCCCAGGGUUUGCUGGUUCAGAUACUGGGUGCAGACCUACAUACCCCUCAUUGAGCCAUGCUGUGGCAGCAUCCUACAUACAAAGUAGAGGAAGAUGGGCACAGAUGUCAGCUCACGGCCCAUCUUCCUCAUGAAAAAAAAGAAUAAGAAUAGUGUGAUCAUGCCUCCAUGUUAAGAUGGUAAGCAAUGGCUGGGCAAGCUGGCGUGGCUUCAGAGAGGCAGGAGGAGGCUCCAGCAGUGAUCCGGGCAGGGCGGUAUGGAGGUGGAGUGGAUGCGGAAGGAGAGAUAGAGGCAGGUAUCAAAGAUGCCAAGACUGCUAGCUGGAGCGCAGACAGCUUCUGAGACUGGCCAGAGUGGAGGAGAAGCAAGUCUGCGGGUGACAUCGCGAGUUGUAUAGGACCUGUGAUGUCCGAGAGACCUGUGAAACACCCAGGCGGGGGUGUCAGCAGGCAGCUGGGUACACGCGUCCAGAGCACAGAGAGGGGAGGGGGGGUCACGGUGAGGAGGGAUGUUCAGCGCCACGGGUCAGCGGAACAGACAUCAUGCCAGUGAGAGGGCCGGGCUGGGGGCUCCCGCAGGGACGGGGGGGAGAGAAGGAGGGGAAGGAGACAGAAAGGGAGACCGAAGGGCGGAGGGGCCGGGGCGAGGAGGACGCGCGGAAGCCCAGGGAACUGAGUGUUUUUAGGAGGAGGCGGCCUCCCCCGACGUGCGCUGACCCUGCGGUGGGAAGACGAUGGGAAAACCUGAAGCCAGGAGUCACCCGCCCUGACACCUCCCUCUGUGCGCUCGAUUCCUCAGCUGUCAAAUGGGUUCAAGGCACCAAGCCUCUUAUGCAGGCACCGCUGUUGCCUCUCCAGCACCGUUCCUCCUGAUCCCCUAACAGAAGCCCGGUGUCGUUGGAGUGACUGUGGCAGAGACUGCCAAUUGCCCCAAUAUCCAUUCUCCUCCUUCCAUAGAAAUGGAACUUUCAGCUGAGCACCUGACUGUCUCACUAAAGACUACAUUUCCCAGCCUCCUUUGCAGUGAGGUGUGGUCAUGUGACAACAGUGGUUGGCGUUAAAGGAGAGGAACCCUGAGCUUAGGGAAGCUGAGUCUUUCACAAUGGGAACUAAGCAAAGCUGCCCUUUGAUCUGGGGGAAAACACCAUCGUCUAAGGCUGCUCACCAUCCAAACCUCCUCGAGAGAUGUGCAGAAGCAUGAGAGACCCAAGGAGAAUUAACUGUCGCCCAGCAUUGCAUUAAUAUUGGAUUUCAAAUGAGCAGUGGUGUAAUUAUGGCCGCUGAGACAUGAGGAUGGAUUGUUGGCAGCUUCCAGGAGAGUUCUUCUCUUCUCUUUUCACUGUCCAAUGUCAUGUCUACACGUGAUGCUUGGGGACAAGUAGCUAUCUUGUGACCAUGAGGAAAAACAUGGCUGACCCCUUGGCAAUGGCAGAGAUGAAGGCUGAAAACAAUCUCGGUCCUUGAUGAUGCCUCUCAAUUAACCAGCACUGGAACCACUUCCCCUCUGGCCACCUUGUCACAGGAGAGCAGAAUCUUCCUCCUGUCGAAGCCGUUCGAGUGAGGUGUCGGGUGGAGGCCGCCUGCCCCUUGCUCCCGUCCAGCACACCUCUCUCCCUCCUGGAAGUGCUGUGACACCAUCUGGUGCAAAAGCCCCAGGCGGAUGUGCUUCGCCGCAAGACAGAGCUGGCCUGAUCAGGGGGAUGGGGUGAAGUAGCUCAGUUAGGGGUUUUCCUCAUCCCAAACCACGGAUAAUAAUAGCACCUUGCCUGCCUAACAGCACAGGGCUGAACAAUUGGCUUAUCGGGGUCUCUUCCAGCUCUGAGCUCACGCCACCCCAGCACAGCUGCUCCACAUUCCAUGGGAGCAGGCUCCAGGGAAGGCCCCGCCUUUCUCCUGGGGUAAUACAUGGGCGAGGGGGACGGAGGAGGCCAUCGCCCCUCAGGCUCCAUGGGAUCCUCACAUUUGCCACUGUGGGAAGCCUCAGCAGGGCCCUGGGGACAGCCCUCAGAGGGGUGAGUUUGGACAAGGUGAGGCUGCACAGCUUCGGGGGCAGGUUACUCCCCAAAGUACCACCAGGGGGUGACUUGGGGGUUGGGGGGGACCUGAGGAGGAGCGAAGCCUGUGACAUGCUCAGUGGUUUCAAGAUGGUUUGUCAGAUCAGUUCUUCAGGACUAACCGGCUGCUCGUCACCCACCCACGGGACAUGCAGGUGCAGACGCGAACAGGAGCUUUCUGGAGACGCUGGCUCCUGAGCGGCACAUGGUUCUAAUGGGGAGGUUUCUGGCACCUUGAACGUGCUAGUGGGGGAGGGUAUUUGGGGCAAAGUUCUCAGACCUCAAAUCCUCAAAUGACCCUCCUCCCAGUCACAUUCAAAAGCAACUAUUGAGCAGAUAGAGUGUGCGGAUGAAAAACACACAACUGCCAUCCACGGCUGGCUGGACACCCGGAGGGGCAUGGGUCCCACGCGCCCCUCAGCUCAGGCUCACUUCCUCCGGGCAGCCUGCCCGGAGCAGCACCCUCCUCUCGCCGAUGCCCCCUGCCCCCCCGCCCCAUGCCCUCCCACCUCAGCUGAGCUAGCCACCGCCAGGGCUGUGCCCAGCACGAGGCCGGGAACAAGUGCAAGGAACAAGCACUGAGGGGCACGCAGCGCCCUGGGGUUACAGGAGGGCGGGGCCCUCUGGGAGAUCCCACGGGGAAAGAAACAAGCGGAAGGAAGGGCUGGGCGUGGGGAUGCCUGUCAGGGGGCAGGAGGGGGUGCUGGAGGCCAGCAGCCAGGCUGGAGAGGGUGGCGGGAUUCAGAGCAGGCUUUGAAGGGCCGGCGGUGGGGCUGCAGGCAAGGGGAAGCCCCUGGAGAGUUCUGAGCAGGAAAUGAACCAUCGUAAAGCUUUAUUUGAGCAAUUAUGAUGUGCCAGGCACCAGCUUAGGCGUUUGACACGUACUUCCUCUUUUCACCCUCAGACGACCCUAGAAGACGGAUGUUAGCAUCGUGUGAUGGCUGAGGAGACCGAGGCACCACCACGACCCAGAGGCAAAGCUGGGGGCGACUUGACCCUCAGUGUCUGCCCCUCGCCCACCCAGGGCUAACAUCUAGGGAGCGCUCACUGUGGGCCACAUGCCUAUAGGCAGCAUUUCUCUUAGUCAUCCCAACUGCCUUUGCUGGGACUUACCAGCAUCGGCCACUAUGCCACACUUUCUCUCCCCUCCACCCCCAGUAGUGGCAUCAAUAUUGCUCAGGUAAAACUUCCAGCACUGGCGGGCACAGGGCAGGCCGUCAGCGCGGGGCACAGCCAGGGGCAUAAACCUUGCAAGCGGUUCCUCCAGCCCCGUCAAGCCUUCUGUGACUGCAGCCUGGCCAGCGUCCUACCAGCUCCCUCACGACAGGCCCCAAGCUAGAGCCCCCAGCUCAGCAGCUCCCAGACCCCUGACGCCCGCUCACUCGAGGAGUUUGGGAGUAAUUUCUUGCUCAUCAGUAGAUACCUAAUACCCUCUCCAGUCAGGGUCCAGCCCCUGCUGGCUGUGUGACUGGGGGCAUCUGUACCUCUCUGGGCACAUCUGUUUUCUCCAACUCAGACCUUCCUGCUGAACUCUAUAUCGUUGCGAUCAGCAGCCCCCAUUAAGGUCCCUCGGGCCCGGGACCUUGGCGUGUCCCAGACAAAUGUCUCUUAAAUCCACUUCCCACUGCGGUUCGGCCCUCGUCUCUCCUUUCAGUUACUGAAACAGCCUCAUUGAUGAUUCUCCCGCCUUGUGUAGCAUAAGGCUGCAAAUAACAAACCCCAAAUACCAGUGGAGUACACUAGACGGAGGUGUAUUUCCCCGUCUUAUUCAAGAAGUACAGAGGCAGUCCCCGGGUGGUAGUGUUCCACGGUGCCGGGAGCCCAGGCGCUCUCGGUCUGCUUGCUCUGCAGCAGGCAGCUUUCAUUCCUAAGGUUUCCUCAUGGUCUGAAAUACUGCUUGUGCACUAUGGAAAACAGUGUGGAGAUUUCUCAAAAAAUUAAAAAUAGAAAUACCAUAUGAUCCAGCAAUCCUACCCCUGGGUAUUUAUCCAAAGAACGUGAAACCAACAAUACACAGGGAUCUAUGCACCCGUAUGUUCACUGCAGCGUUAUUCACAAUAGCCAGGAUGUGGAAGCAACCCAAGUGCCCAGCCACUGCUGACUGGAUAAGGAAGAUGUGGUAUAUAUAUACAAUGGAAUACUACUCAGCCAUAAAAAGACAAAAUCAUCCCAUUUGGAUGGAUGGACCUGCAGGGUAUUAGGUUAAGUGAAAUAAGCCAGACAGAGAAAGACAAACACCAUAUGAUUUCGCUCAUAUGUGGAAGAUAAACAAACACAUGGAUAAAGAGAACAGAUUAGUGGUUACCAGAAGGGAAGGGGGGUGGCAAAAAUGGUAAAGAGGCACAUAUAUAUGGUGACGGAUAAAAAACAGACUAUUGGGGGGGCCGGCACUCCACUUUGGCAGCCCAGGUUCAUGGGUUCAGAUCCUGGGCACCAACCUACACCACUCAUCAGCCACGCGGUGGCAGCAACCCACAUGUAAAAAGUAGAAGAUUGGCAAGAGAUGUUAGCCCAGGGCUAAUCUUCCCCAGCAAAACAAACAAACAAACAAAAAACCAAAACUAGACUAUUAGGGGUAAGCACAAUGCAGUCUAUACAGAAACUGAUAUAUAAUAAUGUACAUCUGAGUUACACAAUGUUAUAAACCAGUAUGACCUCAAUAAAGUAAUUUUAAAAAAUAGAAUAAAAUAGCUGCUUAUGCUCCAGCCAUCACAUCCACAUUCUAGCCAUUAGAAAGGAGUAACCAGAGAAAGAGAAAACAUCCCUUCCCUUUAAAAAACUUUUGCUUAUUUUCCAUUGACCACGUCUAACAAGGGAGACAAGGAAACAGUCUAUGUUGAGGGUCACCACGUGCUCAGCUAAAAAUACAGAAGUUUAGGAAUCAGGAGGAAGGGGAGAUCAGGCAUGUGGGACAACAAGCAUCCUUUGCAGCCCCCUCCAUGCUGCUGCCCAGGAACAGGGUUUUAUCGUUGCCUUUGUUGCUUUGUUCUCCACUAUAACAUAGCAAAGAACGCUGAGGCUCGGAGACGGGUCACAGGGAGAUGAUGGCUGUGCCAGGAGCAGACCCUGAACCUCAGUCCCUCUCCACUCUGGCCUCCCUCCAAGCAGGUAUUAUUCCACACUCGGGGAAACGAAACAAACCAACAUACAACACAAGAGCCUUCCAGUUGUGACCUGAGUUACAAAAGAAAUUGAAAACAAAUAUCUAUAGUUAUAUCUUCUGAAAUCACAAAGAAGGGUGACCUCAUGUUUCAAGAAGGCAAACUCUUUCCUGGUUCAGUUCUUGGAAUCAGGAAAAAUUAUUACACUUUCUUUCCUCUUCAGCUUCUGUGCCUGGAACCUAUAGGAUAGAGGCCAUUUUCUUCCCUGUAAAUAUACAGAUUUUACUGUUAGGUGAUUGCAGUGAGAAACAAAGAUGGAAUAUGUUUGAGCUGCUUAGUUUUUUAAAGAUGACAUAACGUGAAAGAAAUGGACCGAAAUUUAAGGUUUGGCCUUUAGGACAUACGCAGAAUGUUAACAGUGCUGGGAGGGAGUACGAGGGUCUUCUCCUGCGGGGUUACGUAUUUCUGUACCAUUUGAACCUUACAAUAAGCAUGGAUUGCACAUGUAAGCGAACAAAAGACAUUUAAAAUAAAUAAAAUAUAGCCUAUACUCUCCCUAAAUAAAAUGAUAUGUGCUUACUAUAGAAAAUACAGAAAUGUACAAAAAGACAAUUUUAAUUACUCACAAUUUCACCCUUCAGAGAGAUCCCCACCGUUAAUAUUUUGGUAUGAUGCCUUCGAUCUUCUUCAUACACAUGUACAUUUAGAUAGACAGAUAGAUUUUAAAAUCAAACUUAGGGUCAUUCUGGAUAUUGUCUUUUCCAAAACUUUAUUAUGAACAACUUCAGACGGCAAAGCUAAAUCCCUAAAUCCCACCUAAAUCCCCCAUCGACAGUAUACGAUACUUGCUUUAUCACACAGCUACCCAACUGGAGACGGUUGUUUUCUUUUCAUUAUCAUACAGUAAUGGCGAUCUCUUUUGGCGUGCAGUUCCAUGAAUUUUACACGUAUUGACGCACGAUCAGGAUUCAGAACAGGUCCAUCAUCCCCCUCAGCUCCAUCGUGCCAGCCCUGGAAGGCACACCUCCCCUGACCCCUACACCCUGGGAACUACUGAUCUGUUCUCAUGACCACUGGUUUUGUCUUUUCUAGAAUGUCAUAUAAAUUGGGCCACGCAGGAGGUAACCUUUGGAGGCUGGCUUCUUCCACCCACGUCGCUGUGCGCCUUGCGAGCGCGUGCCUUCUGACUACUGAGGAGUAAGGCGUCCGUGGUACAGCUGCCCCACAGCCCGCUUACCCGCUCACCCAGGUUUGGGGGCUUGUGAACAGAGGCACCGUCAACAUUCCCGCACAGCUGUUUGUGGGGAUGCAAGUUUUCCUUUCUCUGGGGUGAGCAUCUAGGAGUGGGCUUUAGUUUGCACCUGCCCCGGGGCUAACGAUGGCUAGCGUCUCUGCUGGUGCUUAUCUGCCACCUGUAUAUCCCCUUGGGUGGUGUCUGUUCAACUCCUGCCCGUUUUAAAAUUGGUUGGUCGUUUUCUUACUGUUGAGUUUUAAGAGUUUUUUUUAUGUAUUCUGGGAACAGGUCUGUUGUCAAAUAUGUGAUUUGUAUGUAAUGUCUCUCAGCCCAUAAUGUGUCUUUUCAUUCUCUUAACAUCGUCUUUCACAGAGCAAGAGGUUUUGAUUUUGAAGAAGUCCAAUGUAUCAAUUUUUUCUUUCAUGGAUCCUGGUUUUAGCGUCCUGUUUAAUAACUCUUUGACUCACCCCAGGUCGUGAAGAUUUUCUCCCAUGCUCUCUUCUAGACCUUUUAUAGUUUCAGGUUUUACACUUAGGUCUAUGAUUCAUUUUGAGUUAAUUUCAGUACAACGUGUGAGGUUUAGGACAAGGUUCAUGUUUUUUGCACAGAGGUGCCAGCUGUUCCAGCACCAUUGGCUCGAAAGACUAUCCUUUCUCCAUUGAAUCACUUCUGCUCCUUUGUCAAAAUCAAUUGGCCACAUUUGCGUGUGUCUAUUUCUGGACUCCAUUCUGUUUCUUGAUCUGAGUCCCUUCCUCUGACAGCGCCACACUCUGAUGACUGGUCCAAAUCCUGUUGUUUUAGGUCCUAAACUCAGAUCACAUAAUUCCUCCAACUUUAUUCUUCUUUUUCAAAAUUGUUUUAGCUGUUCUAGUUUCUUUGCCUUUCCAUAUAAAUUCUAGAAUCAGCUUGUCUGUAGCUACAAAAACUCCUGCUGGGAUUUGAUUGGAAUUAUGUUAAAUCUAUAGAUCAGUUUUAUGGGUUGAACUGUGUCCCCAAAAAGAUAUGUUUUAGUCCUAACCUGCGCCCAAUACUAGACCUCAGAACGUGACUUUAUUUGGAAAUAGGCCCAUCGUAGAUGGACUUAGUUAGGAUGAGGUCAGAGUGGAGUAGGGUGGGUCCUUAACCCAACAUGACCCAGGUCCCUCUCACAGAAGAGACACAGACACUCAGGGAGAAUGCCACGUGACGACGGCACCAAGGCAGACAUGGAGGUGCUGCAGCACAAGCCAGGGGACACCAAGGACUGUGUGCUGGCCACCAGAAGCCAGAAGAGGCGGGAAGGAGCCUCCCCUAGAGGCUUCGGAGGGAGCGUGGCCCCGCUGACACCCUGAUUUCCGACCUCUGGCCUCCAGAACCGGGAGACGACACGGUUUGAGGUACUUGGUUACCGCAGCCCCAGGUAACUAACACAGUGAGUUUGGGGAGAAAUGACAUCAUUUCGAUGCUGAGUCUUCCAACCCAGGAACAUGGUAGGUUUGUCCAUUUAUUUAGAUCUUUGAUUUCUUUCAUCAACAUUUUGUUUUCAGCAUAGACAUUCUGUGAAUGUUUUGUUAGAUUUAUACCCAAGUAUCUCUCUUCUUUCUUUCUGGAGCUAUUAUAAAUAGUACUGUUUUUUUAAUUUGUCUCCCACUGUUCAUUGCUAGCAUAUAGACAGACGACUGAUGUCUGUGUCUUAAUCUCGUACCUCGUGGCCACAAUGGACUCAGUCAUUACGUCUCAGAGUGAUAGGAGUCCUUAGCCUUUCUGAUGCCAUUUACUCUCUUUGAAAAAAACAAGUUAAUCACUACAAAACAUUCCAUGAUACUCCACUCUUAAUUUAUUUUACCCAUUCCCUUCCAUCGGACAUUUACGUUUCGUUUUAUUAUUAUCACUAUUAUUAUUAAGGAUGGAAAUGAGUUUCAGAUUCUGGGACGUAAAUCUCUCACCCCUUUUCUCAUUAUGUCAGAGGAGCGAUUCCUAGAAAUGGGAUUAGCAGGUCAAAGGGCUGAGCCCUCCUAAGGACUACACGUGGCUCAGCGGCUUUCCAGAAAGGUCAGUCCAGCUCAUUCCUGAGAGCCGCAGGCGAGAGCACUCAGGGCGCUGAGACGGUGACAGCGCUGGGCACCAUCAUUUUAAAGCUCUUUACCAUGUGAUAGGAGAAAACCAGUGUCUCCCUUGCAUUUUAAAGCAAUCCUUUCUAAAAUGCCCACCUGUCUCACCCCUGCUCCAAACCUCCCCUGGCUCCCUAUCACCUUCAGAAUAAAGUCCAUGCCCCUGGCGGGCAGCCGGGUACCCCAAUACCAGCUCCAGUUUACUCCCAUCACUCUCAAAUUCCACUGCUUCCUUUCCCCUACCCCGUACCAGGCCCUACAGCAUGGCCGGUUAUUUCUGAAACCCACCACAAGAGCUCCUUCCCCUCCAAGGCUCUGCCCAUGCUGUCUACACUGCCUGGAAUGCAGGAUGCUCACCCUGCCUGCCCCUCCUCAAGUGACCCAAAGGGGUACCUAGGAGAGGGUGAGAGUGGCAGAUCUGGAGCUAGACUGACGGUGUUCCAGCCCAGCUCUGCUGUGUGGCCGUGGGAAAGUUACUCAACCUCUCUGUGCCUCCGUUACCACAACUGUAAAAUGGCAAUAAGGAUAGCAGCCACCUGAUAGGGUUGUCAUGAGGAUUAAAUGAAUUAAGAAGCAUAUGUUAAAGUAUAUAUGAACUGUGUCUGGCAGUCGGGAAAUAUUAACACAUUUUAGCUACUAUUGUUAUUAUUGUCGUUCACAGCUGCCCCUCUGACCUGGCCUGUCACACGGAGGAAACAGCCCCGUCACUGCUCUUAUUCCAUAGUGAUGCUGCUUAAAUGCCCAAGCCUCAUGUUUCUCAUCUCAGAGAGGCAAAUAACCCCACACCUGCUUCACGUGAGGACUUAAAGAGCUAAGAGGUCCCCAAGUGCUCCUCAGUGUUGGCAUCACUCCCUGAGGGUCACCAUCUCCGCACCCCCACCCCGGAAGGCAGGAGCCGGACGGUGACCAGUGCUGUGCUGACCCGACAGGGCCCCGGGGAAAACGCACCCCAACCCGGAGCUUCAAGAGGCACUGAUAUGAGAAGAUUGAGGCCCAGAGACAUGAAGUAAUUUGCCCGCUGUCACAGAGCUGCUGUCUGCAGCAGCGGCCAGGGCACAGCCUCGCAAUCUCAGACUCAUGUCGCCUCCACCCCGGACACUUGGUGGCCCCCCAAGGGCAGCCUAGCCCCCACCCCACCCCCAGGCCCUCCAUCUUUUGUCCAAUUCCACCCCUUGCCACAGCAAGAUACUUAAUCUCUUUGGACCUCAGUUUCACCGACUGUGUGAUGAAUACUUCGAGCUCUUGGGAGCAAGGCAUUGUAGACUUCUAGGGGAUCAAGCCACCGUCUUAAGCGGGACCCGGGCC
ensembl:lncRNA